ensembl:antisense Gm15343 predicted gene 15343
GCACAUGCGCAGUAAUCAGGCCAAACGGACUUGACACCAUCUGCGGUCAUAGUCCAAAGUCCCUAACUUUGACCACAGGGCUAGUUCCAUUCUGAUAGACUCUGUGGGUUCCACAACUAUCUUGCCUGCAGCUCUGCAUUUAGGGACACCCAAAUUGGAAGAGGACUUACUGGUCCUUUCAAGGGGGAGACGGAGGCUUUCAAGGAUGCUGUGCUAAGAAGGGUCCCAGCAUUCAGCCUGAGCCCCAGGUUCUGCUCAGAAACACCAACCCACAGCUUUUGCAGGCCUGCAGAGACCAAGACACCUCACCACGCCCUCAAAGAGCCAGAGGAAUGUUGGACACUGUGAAACCGUAGAGGCGAGUCACCCCUGGGAACACAUAGGCCAGGAUACGCCGGUCAAGCUGGAACGCGAUCUCCCCAACGAUUCGGCCAUCCUUCUCAGCACCCGAAAAACUCUGGAUCUCUGGAUGCUGUUCUGCCACCCCACCAACUCAGCCUUCUCUGAGGACAGCAGGAGACAUCACAGCCUGGAUCUGGAAAGAGCCAGCCUCUUCCAGUCUACAGCAUUGCCACCAAAGACAGGCCAAUGUCUGAAAGGAGUAACCAACCACUUUCUGACUGGAUUUGAGACCGGCUCC